AAGGGGUUCUGCCGUCGGUCCCACUGCAAAGUUCGCAGAGUGGGAGGUGGGCGCAGAAUCCCGACU
rnacentral:pre_miRNA from 1 species